rnacentral:rRNA from 1 species
CACGUAGGGCGCAAGCGUUGUCCGGAAUUAUUGGGCGUAAAGAGCUUGUAGGCGGUUUGUCGCGUCUGCUGUGAAAAUCCGGGGCUCAACCCCGGACUUGCAGUGGGUACGGGCGGGCUAGAGUUCGGUAGGGGAGACUGGAAUUCCUGGUGUAGCGGUGAAAUGCGCAGAUAUCAGGAGGAACACCGGUGGCGAAGGCGGGUCUCUGGGCCGAUACUGACGCUGAGGAGCGAAAGCGUGGGGAGCGAACAGG